rnacentral:rRNA from 1 species
AUUGAACGCUGGCGGCAGGCCUAACACAUGCAAGUCGAGCGGAGCGGCAGACGGGUGAGUAAUGCCUAGGAAUCUGCCUGGUCCGGGGGGAUAACGUCCGGAAACGGGCGCUAAUACCGCUUACUAUCAGAUGAGCCUCGGGCGGAUUAGCUAGUUGGGGGGGUAAAGGCCUGCCAAGGCGACGAUCCGUAACGGGUCUGAGAGGAUGAUCAGUCAAACUGGAACUGAGACACGGUCCAGACCCCUACGGGAGGCAGCAGUGGGGCAUAUUGGACAAUGGGCGAAAGCCUGAUCCAGCCAUGCCGCGUGUGUGAAGAAGUUCUUAGGAUGGUAAAGCACUUUAAGUUUGGAGGCCUUACCAACAGAAUAAUAACCGGCUAACUUCGUGCCAGCAGCCGCGGUAAUAC